rnacentral:rRNA from 1 species
UACAGGGGGGGGCAAGCGUUGUUCGGAAUUACUGGGCGUAAAGGGCCAGUAGGCGGCCAACUAAGUCCGACGUGAAAUCCCCAAGCUUAACUUGGGAACUGCGUCGGAUACUGGAUGGCUUGAAUUCGGGAGAGGGAUGCAGAAUUCCAGGUGUAGCGGUGGAAUGCGCAGAUAUCAGGAGGAACACCGAUGGCGAAGGCAGGUCACUGGGCCGCAACUGACGCUGAGGAGCGAAAGCGUGGGGAGCGAACAGG